AGUGAAUGCUGGCGGUAGGCCUAACACAUGCAAGUCGAACGGCAGCACAGUAAGAGCUUGCUCUUACGGGUGGCGAGUGGCGGACGGGUGAGGAAUACAUCGGAAUCUACUUUUUCGUGGGGGACAACGUAGGGAAACUUACGCUAAUACCGCAUACGACCUACGGGUGAAAGCAGGGGAUCUUCGGACCUUGCGCGAUUGAAUGAGCCGAUGUCGGAUUAGCUAGUUGGCGGGGUAAGGGCCCACCAAGGCGACGAUCCGUAGCUGGUCUGAGAGGAUGAUCAGCCACACUGGAACUGAGACACGGUCCAGACUCCUACGGGAGGCAGCAGUGGGGAAUAUUGGACAAUGGGCGCAAGCCUGAUCCAGCCAUACCGCGUGGGUGAAGAAGGCCUUCGGGUUGUAAAGCCCUUUUGUUGGGAAAGAAAAGCAGCAGGUUAAUACCCCGCUGUUCUGACGGUACCCAAAGAAUAAGCACCGGCUAACUUCGU
rnacentral:rRNA from 1 species